GAUGAACGCUGGCGGCGUGCCUAACACAUGCAAGUCGAGCGGCAGCGAGGGGUGCUUGCACCCUGUCGGCGAGCGGCGGACGGCUGAGUAACGCGUGGGAACGUGCCCCAAAGUGAGGAAUAACUGCCCGAAAGGGUAGCUAAUACCGCAUAUUAUCUUCGGAUCAAAGGAUUUAUCCGCUUUGGGAGCGGCUCGCGUCGGAUUAGGUAGUUGGUGAGGUAAUGGCUCACCGAGCCGACGAUCCGUAGCUGGUCUGAGAGGAUGACCAGCCAGACUGGAACUGAGACACGGUCCAGACUCCUACGGGAGGCAGCAGUGAGGAAUCUUCCACAAUGGGCGAAAGCCUGAUGGAGCAACGCCGCGUGCAGGACGAAGGCCUUCGGGUUGUAAACUGCUUUUAUAAGUGAGGAAUAUGACGGUAACUUAUGAAUAAGGAUCGGCUAACUACGU
rnacentral:rRNA from 1 species